UACGAAGGGGGCUAGCGUUGCUCGGAAUCACUGGGCGUAAAGGGCGCGUAGGCGGCCGAUCAAGUCGGGGGUGAAAGCCUGUGGCUCAACCACAGAAUUGCCUUCGAUACUGCAUUGGCUUGAGACCGGAAGAGGUAAGUGGAACUGCGAGUGUAGAGGUGAAAUUCGUAGAUAUUCGCAAGAACACCCGUGGCGAAAGCGGCUCUCUGGAACGGUACUGACGCUGAGACGCGAAAGCGUGGGGAGCGAACAGG
rnacentral:rRNA from 1 species